rnacentral:lncRNA from 1 species
GAUCAUAAUCACAUAAACUCGUCUUGGGAAAGCGGCGCUAAUCCCCUUGGUUCAUAAAGCCUACAAGAAAUUCUAUUCUUAAUAGGUCUCCUUGAAUCUAAUCUUAAAGUCAUGGUGUAGUGCUUAAUAUUCUAUGAUUCACUUAGCCGGGUUUUCAAAAUUUAAUGAAUAAAUAAUUGAAAACUAAAAUUCUUGAGUUAAGGACACCAACAAUAUCCUUACUCGACUUUCUUUAAUAAUUGGAAUUAUAAAUAAAACCAAUUAAAUCAUAAAUACUUUUAUUGCAAAAUAAAAUGCAAUUUCAUGUCAUGCUUAGCAUAUAAUAAGUAAUUACUUAAAAUAUGCACAUAAUAAUAAUUUAAUAUUAUUAUGAAAAUUAAAAUAAUUAAUCAAACUUAAUAAGUCUAAUUAAUUAAAAUAGUGCAGUCCAUUUAAAAGAAGAAGCUGCACAGCCCAAAUGAAUAAAUUAAGGGCCCAAGGAAUUAAAUAAAAACAAUCAGCCCAACUGAUAAAAUUUAAAUAAAACUCGGCCCACCACUCGGCCCAACACUCAAAGCCCGACAGCCAAACCCUAGCCUAGCCCAACAUAAAAGCCCAACCCCCAAUUUCUAUUUCUCCUUCCUUCAUCAGUCACGCCUCCUCCCUUCUCCCUAUCAGUCGGACGCACAUCAGUCUCCCUCUCUCGACUGAUCGUCCCUCCCUCUCAACUGCUCUUCCGUCUCUCCUCUCGAAAUCUCACCGCCGUCGAAACUCGCCAGAGCAAGCGGCGACAGGCUCCAGCUCCCUUCUCUCUUCUCCAUUUUUUUCGGCGACUGCAGCGACAGCCACCGCCCCAGCCCCUGCUCCCGAUGGCCGAUGACCCCCAGGCCGCCGCCGCCCUCUCCUUCCCCGUUCUUCACCGUGGCUAGGCAGCAACGGCAGAGCCGCAGUGCCUGGCCUCCCUCUCUGACUCCCGCCGACGAGCAGCAGCCGGAGCCGCCCGCAGCCUCCUCCCUUCUCUCCCUCCGUCCGUGGCCGGACGACAGCGGCAGGGCCGCCGCGCCCUGGUCUCCCUCUGUGAAAACUCAGCCCAGACCAGUCACCCAUCCCCCUACUCUCUGUUCACUCCGGCCGACAGCAGUUGAAAAACCACCGCCGCCGACCGCAUCUGCCUCCCUCCACUCUCGACUCAAUUCAACAGUAACCGCUCAAACACGACAAGCACAAACUAAGCUCAAGACUCCUUCUCUCUUUUUUUUUUUUUGGCAGAAUAUGCUUAAAAUCAAGGAACAAAUUGAUGCUUCAAGAUUCAACCUUUUCUUUUAUAAAACAUGCUCUGCUGUAUGUAUAUGAAUAUAUGAAUGUCAUUCUAAUUGAAAUGCUUGAAAUGUGUUGCUGGGUAUAUUACAAAUGUAUAUGGCUUCGAACAAGUUUGCAACUUGAAAGCUCGAUUUAUGAGCAGAGGUAAAAAGAAGUUAAGUGGCUACCUUGUGAGAAAUUUUCAAUGGAUGUUCUUGUUUGAUUGUUGGCUCUGCACUUGGAGAGAGGAGAACGUUGGAACUGCUGAAGGUUUGCAAAGAGAGUUACAGAUAAUUUGCUUUAGGGUGCUUUGGUUUUGCAGAGAAGUGGGGAUUGGACAGCCUGACUUUUGGGGGCUGAAAUUGGGAGCUACUGUAGGGUAGGGUGGCUGAU